UAGCUAGUAGGUGGGGUAACGGCUCACCUAGGCGACGAUCCCUAGCUGGUCUGAGAGGAUGACCAGCCACACUGGAACUGAGACACGGUCCAGACUCCUACGGGAGGCAGCAGUGGGGAAUAUUGCACAAUGGGCGCAAGCCUGAUGCAGCCAUGCCGCGUGUAUGAAGAAGGCCUUCGGGUUGUAAAGUACUUUCAGCGGGGAGGAAGGGAGUAAAGUUAAUACCUUUGCUCAUUGACGUUACCCGCAGAAGAAGCACCGGCUAACUCCGUGCCAGCAGCCGCGGUAAUACGGAGGGUGCAAGCGUUAAUCGGAAUUACUGGGCGUAAAGCGCACGCAGGCGGUUUGUUAAGUCAGAUGUGAAAUCCCCGGGCUCAACCUGGGAACUGCAUCUGAUACUGGCAAGCUUGAGUCUCGUAGAGGGGGGUAGAAUUCCAGGUGUAGCGGUGAAAUGCGUAGAGAUCUGGAGGAAUACCGGUGGCGAAGGCGGCCCCCUGGACGAAGACUGAC
rnacentral:rRNA from 1 species